CUCUGACCCUAUCCCCUCUCAUGCUCUCUCUCUCUCAUUCUCUCUUAGAUAAGUAAAUAAAUUCUUCAAAAAAAAAAAAAAAGAACUCUAUCAUAGAUAAGCCUUGAACUCUGGAGGAAGGGUUUCUGAGGUUUGCUGACAAAUGAGGAGAGGAGGAAGCAUGGUGUAGUAUUACCAUAGUUUGCUUCUGCUGGGUUGGUUGCGGAGAGAAAAGCAACAAUACAUCUCAGAGAUGCAUCACAAUUUGUUCUCAGUCAACUAAACUAUUACUCAAGGUUGCAGAUAUAAACGGCAGUGGUCGAAAAGAGAAAUAGUCCUGGGUUUAAACCUAUGAUGUGGGCAGCUCCAGAAUGGAAAGGAAAUGCGGAAAAUACAUAGUAACCAUGAAACCCUUUAGAAACCAGCCUUUCCGGUGGCCAUUCUCAAGUCUAGGUGACUGGAAACUCACAGCGCAGUUCAUCAGUUUCCACCAUCAGUUGAUGUCAGUGAUGAUGCUGGCACACAUAUCACCAGCACCUGGGGACUCCUGGAUGCUCAUGAUGUCCAAAGGGAGACCUCUGUCAUGGACAGGUCGCAGAUAUAAAGGGCUGCACAGGAAUUGAGAAAUAUCCUUGGAGUUAAGCCUGUGGUGGAAGCACAAGAAUGGACAGGAAGCAUGGGAAAUAUGUAGUAAAUGUUGAACGCUCUGAAAACCAGUCUCCAAUCACGUGUUCAGAUGACCAAGAGGCUCACAGCUCUGCAUGCUGGCACCGACCUUCAAAUGACACAACCAGUCAUGUCUCUUCCAACUUAACUGGACUGUAUGUGAGCCCAGGAGUCAUUGUACACUCACGAUGCCCACACAUAGAAUUAUCCAAUGCACAGGUAUUGUUUGAUAUAGCAGCUUCUACCCAGGUUGGAAUGUGUU